CGAUUCGGUAGUUAUCCAAGCUACGCACAUGCCACGCAAAUGUUAUGACUCGUUUAAUCGAGAUAUAUCCGUAGGAAUUAGAGGACGCUUUUCUCUGAUGCAAUCGAUAAAUCGAUACAUCUCUUACAAAAUUCUCGUUUCAGGAUCAAUUUGACAUAAUGUCCAUUAGAUUUAUUCUCACGUUGUCAAUCUAUUUAGCCGAAGCAGAUAUGCCGACGAUUAAAUUAGAAGGAAAAUUACGAAUCCGUAAAUUAUCGAACGCUUUCCCAAGGUGGGCACGUUUGAGCGAGACUCUUGCGUUAUUGACAUUGCUUUUACUCGACACUCAAAAGUAAACGGUUUGAAUAGCGAGUGGAUGUGUACACGCGUAUAAAUAAGUAACCAAAGAAUGUCCGUAUUUUUGUAUGUAAUGCAAUAAAAUAUUUGGCAAAUCGG